rnacentral:rRNA from 1 species
UACGGGGGGGAGCAAGCGUUGUUCGGAUUUACUGGGCGUAAAGGGCUCGUAGGCGGCCAACUAAGUCGGACGUGAAAUCCCCAGGCUCAACCUGGGAACUGCGUCCGAUACUGGAUGGCUUGAAUCCGGGAGAGGGAUGCAGAAUUCCAGGUGUAGCGGUGAAAUGCGUAGAUAUCUGGAGGAAUACCGGUGGCGAAGGCGGCAUCCUGGACCGGCAUUGACGCUGAGGAGCGAAAGCCAGGGGAGCAAACGGG